rnacentral:rRNA from 1 species
UACGGGGGGGGCAAGCGUUGUUCGGAAUUACUGGGCGUAAAGGGCUCGUAGGCGGCCAACUAAGUCAGACGUGAAAUCCCUCGGCUUAACCGGGGAACUGCGUCUGAUACUGGAUGGCUUGAGUUUGGGAGAGGGAUGCGGAAUUCCAGGUGUAGCGGUGAAAUGCGUAGAUAUCUGGAGGAACACCGGUGGCGAAGGCGGCAUCCUGGACCAACACUGACGCUGAGGAGCGAAAGCCAGGGGAGUAAACGGG